UGUUCACAUAUCAUUCAUGUGAAUUUUAAUAGAAGCUACGUAGUCUAAUUUAAGUUUUUUUUUAUCCAUCAACACUCAUACAAAAACUCAUAAACAUUUUACCGACCAAGAACGUGCAGUUGUAAACAACGAACACAAAAGAAAAUACUUUGAAGGACUGUUUUUGUCUAUACAAUGAAAGUCAAUGGGGUCCAAAAAACAACAACACUGGUUUGAACACUGAGACAAUUUUCAAACAGAUGAAAGAGAUUCAUACAGGUUUGGAAGGACGAGGAGACACCAAGUUCCAUCGGGCUCAUGAGCUGAAUGGAGAUCAAACUGUGAAACAUGGCUUCCUCCACAGGCUGCUGCUGGUGCAGGGGCACUGGUCCUACUACCGCAUCUGCAUCCUUCUGUGCUAUUUCCUCUACAAAACCACUGCUUUUGCUCUAGUUCAUGUCUGGUAAAGUUUCUACAAUGGCUUCAGCGCUCCGGUAUAGAGCAACUAGGUCACUUAAUCCACUUUACACCCACCAACCCUAACCGCACUGAGAAAAUAUCUGCUAUUACAGUCAAACUGAGAUAUGUUUGAGAUGUACUGUAACAUGUUUGAGAAAAGUCAGAUUAUCCAUUAACAGUAAGUAAAAGAAGUUAAGAAUCAUCAAAGUGUGACAACUCAGUCAGGAUAAGUUUUAUGCAAUAAUGUCUGUUAUAAGCAAAUGUGUCUAGUUGUAAGUUUUAUGGACAUAAAGAUGAUUUUAUUUGA